rnacentral:rRNA from 1 species
UGACGUUAGCGGCGGACGGGUGAGUAACACGUGGAUAACCUACCUAUAAGACUGGGAUAACUUCGGGAAACCGGAGCUAAUACCGGAUAACAUGUUGAACCGCAUGGUUCAACAGUGAAAGACGGUCUUGCUGUCACUUAUAGAUGGAUCCGCGCCGCAUUAGCUAGUUGGUAAGGUAACGGCUUACCAAGGCAACGAUGCGUAGCCGACCUGAGAGGGUGAUCGGCCACACUGGAACUGAGACACGGUCCAGACUCCUACGGGAGGCAGCAGUAGGGAAUCUUCCGCAAUGGGCGAAAGCCUGACGGAGCAACGCCGCGUGAGUGAAGAAGGUCUUCGGAUCGUAAAACUCUGUUAUUAGGGAAGAACAAAUGUGUAAGUAACUAUGCACGUCUUGACGGUACCUAAUCAGAAAGCCACGGCUAACUACGUGCCAGCAGCCGCGGUAAUACGUAGGUGGCAAGCGUUAUCCGGAAUUAUUGGGCGUAAAGCGCGCGUAGGCGGUUUUUUAAGUCUGAUGUGAAAGCCCACGGCUCAACCGUGGAGGGUCAUUGGAAACUGGAAAACUUGAGUGCAGAAGAGGAAAGUGGAAUUCCAUGUGUAGCGGUGAAAUGCGCAGAGAUAUGGAGGAACACCAGUGGCGAAGGCGACUUUCUGGUCUGUAACUGACGCUGAUGUGCGAAAGCGUGGGGAUCAAACAGGAUUAGAUACCCUGGUAGUCCACGCCGUAAACGAUGAGUGCUAAGUGUUAGGGGGUUUCCGCCCCUUAGUGCUGCAGCUAACGCAUUAAGCACUCCGCCUGGGGAGUACGACCGCAAGGUUGAAACUCAAAGGAAUUGACGGGGACCCGCACAAGCGGUGGAGCAUGUGGUUUAAUUCGAAGCAACGCGAAGAACCUUACCAAAUCUUGACAUCCUCUGACCCCUCUAGAGAUAGAGUUUUCCCCUUCGGGGGACAGAGUGACAGGUGGUGCAUGGUUGUCGUCAGCUCGUGUCGUGAGAUGUUGGGUUAAGUCCCGCAACGAGCGCAACCCUUAAGCUUAGUUGCCAUCAUUAAGUUGGGCACUCUAAGUUGACUGCCGGUGACAAACCGGAGGAAGGUGGGGAUGACGUCAAAUCAUCAUGCCCCUUAUGAUUUGGGCUACACACGUGCUACAAUGGACAAUACAAAGGGUAGCGAAACCGCGAGGUCAAGCAAAUCCCAUAAAGUUGUUCUCAGUUCGGAUUGUAGUCUGCAACUCGACUACAUGAAGCUGGAAUCGCUAGUAAUCGUAGAUCAGCAUGCUACGGUGAAUACGUUCCCGGGUCUUGUACACACCGCCCGUCACACCACGAGAGUUUGUAACACCCGAAGCCGGUGGAGUAACCUUUUGGAGCUAGCCGUCGAAGGUGGGACAAAUGAUUGGGGUGAAGUCGUAACAAGGUAGCCGUAUCGGAAGGUGCGGCUGGAUCACCUCCUUUCUA